rnacentral:rRNA from 1 species
CAUGCAAGUCGAACGGUAACAGGAAGAAGCUUGCUUCUUUGCUGACGAGUGGCGGACGGGUGAGUAAUGUCUGGGAAACUGCCUGAUGGAGGGGGAUAACUACUGGAAACGGUAGCUAAUACCGCAUAACGUCGCAAGACCAAAGAGGGGGACCUUCGGGCCUCUUGCCAUCGGAUGUGCCCAGAUGGGAUUAGCUAGUAGGUGGGGUAACGGCUCACCUAGGCGACGAUCCCUAGCUGGUCUGAGAGGAUGACCAGCCACACUGGAACUGAGACACGGUCCAGACUCCUACGGGAGGCAGCAGUGGGGAAUAUUGCACAAUGGGCGCAAGCCUGAUGCAGCCAUGCCGCGUGUAUGAAGAAGGCCUUCGGGUUGUAAAGUACUUUCAGCGGGGAGGAAGGGAGUAAAGUUAAUACCUUUGCUCAUUGACGUUACCCGCAGAAGAAGCACCGGCUAACUCCGUGCCAGCAGCCGCGGUAAUACGGAGGGUGCAAGCGUUAAUCGGAAUUACUGGGCGUAAAGCGCACGCAGGCGGUUUGUUAAGUCAGAUGUGAAAUCCCCGGGCUCAACCUGGGAACUGCAUCUGAUACUGGCAAGCUUGAGUCUCGUAGAGGGGGGUAGAAUUCCAGGUGUAGCGGUGAAAUGCGUAGAGAUCUGGAGGAAUACCGGUGGCGAAGGCG